GUGAAGAUCACAUGGCCUGGCUGG
rnacentral:piRNA from 1 species